rnacentral:rRNA from 1 species
AGAGUUUGAUCCUGGCUCAGGAUGACCUCUGGCGGCGUGCCUAACACAUGCAAGUCGAACGAAGCGCCCGCGCGGAUUCCCUCGGGAUGAAGCGCGGAUUUCUGAGUGGCGGACGGGUGAGUCACGCGUGGGCAACCUGCCCCGUGCCGGGGGACAACAGCCGGAAACGGCUGCUAAUACCGCAUGAUCCGGAAGGGCCGCAUGGCCUUUCCGGGAAAGCUCCGGCGGCACGGGAUGGGCCCGCGUCUGAUUAGUUUGUUGGCGGGGUAACGGCCCACCAAGACUGCGAUCAGCAGCCGGCCUGAGAGGGCGGCCGGCCACAUUGGGACUGAGACACGGCCCAGACUCCUGCGGGAGGCAGAAGUGGGGAAUAUUGCACAAUGGGGGAAACCCUGAUGCAGCGACGCCGCGUGGGCGACGAAGCGCUCCGGCGCGUAAAGCCCUGUCAGCAGGGAAGAACAAAGACAGUACCUGACCAAGAAGCCCCGGCUAACUACGUGCCAGCAGCCGCGGUAAUACGUAGGGGGCGAGCGUUAUCCGGAUUCACUGGGCGUAAAGGGAGCGCAGGCGGCACGGCAAGUCUGGUGUGAAAGCCCGGGGCCCAACCCCGGGACUGCAUUGGAAACUGCCGGGCUGGAGUGCCGGAGGGGUAAGCGGAAUUCCUGGUGUAGCGGUGAAAUGCGCAGAUAUCAGGAAGAACACCGGUGGCGUAGGCGGCUUACUGGACGGCAACUGACGCUGAGGCUCGAAAGCGUGGGGAGCAAACAGGAUUAGAUACCCUGGUAGUCCACGCCGUAAACGAUGAA